AGCAGCCGCGGUAAUUCCAGCUCCAAUAGCGUAUAUUAAAGUUGUUGCAGUUAAAAAGCUCGUAGUUGAAUUUCGGGGUUAGUAGGUUGGUCAUGCCUCUGGUAUGUACUGGUCUCACUGAUUCCUCCUUCCUGAUGAGCCGUAAUGCCAUUAAUUUGGUGUUGCGGGGGAUUUGGACUGUUACUUUGAAAAAUUAGAGUGUUUAAAGCAAGCUAACGCUUGAAUACAUUAGCAUGGAAUAAUGAAAUAGGACGUUCGAUCCUAUUUUGUUGGUUUCUAGGAUUGUCGUAAUGAUUAAUAGGGAUAGUUGGGGGCAUUAGUAUUCAAUUGUCAGAGGUGAAAUUCUUGGAUUUAUUGAAGACUAACUACUGCGAAAGCAUUUGCCAAGGAUGUUUUCAUUAAUCAAGAACGAAAGUUAGGGGAUCGAAGACGAUCAGAUACCGUCGUAGUCUUAACCAUAAACUAUGCCGACUAGGGAUCGGAUGAUGUUAAUUUUUAAUGACUCAUUCGGCGCCUUAAC
rnacentral:misc_RNA from 1 species